rnacentral:rRNA from 1 species
GACGGAGGAUGCAAGCGUUAUCCGGAAUGAUGGGGCGUAAAGCGUUCGCCGGUGGCUGUUCAAGUCUGCUGUCAAAGACCGGGGCUUAACCCUAGAAAGGCAGUGGAAACUGAACGGCUGGAGUGCAGUAGGGGUAGAGGGAAUUCCCAGUGUAGCGGUGAAAUGCGUAGAGAUUGGGAAGAAAACCGGUGGCGAAAGCGCUCUGCUGGACUGCAACUGACACUGAGGGACGAAAGCUAGGGGAGCGAAUGGG